GGACGGGUGAGUAAUGCAUCGGAACGUGCCCUGAAGUGGGGGAUAACGCAGCGAAAGCUACGCUAAUACCGCAUAUUCUGUGAGCAGGAAAGCAGGGGAUCGCAAGACCUUGCGCUUUGGGAGCGGCCGAUGUCGGAUUAGCUAGUUGGUGGGGUAAAGGCCUACCAAGGCGACGAUCCGUAGCGGGUCUGAGAGGAUGAUCCGCCACACUGGGACUGAGACACGGCCCAGACUCCUACGGGAGGCAGCAGUGGGGAAUUUUGGACAAUGGGCGGAAGCCUGAUCCAGCCAUGCCGCGUGAGUGAAGAAGGCCUUCGGGUUGUAAAGCUCUUUCGGCGGGGAAGAAAUUGCUUGGGUUAAUACCCUGAGUAGAUGACGGUACCCGAAUAAGAAGCACCGGCUAACUACGUGCCAGCAGCCGCGGUAAUACGUAGGGUGCGAGCGUUAAUCGGAAUUACUGGGCGUAAAGCGUGCGCAGGCGGUUUUGUAAGUCAGAUGUGAAAUCCCCGGGCUCAACCUGGGAACUGCAUUUGAGACUGCAAGACUGGAGUUUGGCAGAGGGGGGUGGAAUUCCACGUGUAGCAGUGAAAUGCGUAGAGAUGUGGAGGAACACCGAUGGCGAAGGCAGCCCCCUGGGCCAAUACUGACGCUCAUGCACGAAAGCGCGGGGAGCAAACAGGAUUAGAUACCCUGGUAGUCCACGCCCUAAACGAUGUCAACUAGGUGUUGGGAGGGUUAAACCUUUUAGUGC
rnacentral:rRNA from 1 species